GAGUUUGAUCCUGGCUCAGGAUGAACGCUAGCGGCAGGCUUAAUACAUGCAAGUCGAGGGGCAGCAGCUUUAUAGCAAUAUAGAGGCUGGCGACCGGCAAACGGGUGCGGAACACGUACACAACCUUCCUUGAAUAGGGGGAUAGCCCAUAGAAAUGUGGAUUAAUACCCCGUAAUAUAGCGGUGUGGCAUCACACUGUUAUUAUAGUUUCGGCGAUUCGAGAUGGGUGUGCGGCUGAUUAGGUAGUUGGCGGGGUAAAGGCCCACCAAGCCUUCGAUCAGUAGCUGAUGUGAGAGCAUGAUCAGCCACACGGGCACUGAGACACGGGCCCGACUCCUACGGGAGGCAGCAGUAAGGAAUAUUGGUCAAUGGACGCAAGUCUGAACCAGCCAUGCCGCGUGAAGGAUGAAGGUCCUCUGGAUUGUAAACUUCUUUUAUAGGGGGCGAAAAAAGGUCUUUCUAGAUCACUUGACAGUACCCUAUGAAUAAGCACCGGCUAACUCCGUGCCAGCAGCCGCGGUAAUACGGAGGGUGCAAGCGUUAUCCGGAUUCACUGGGUUUAAAGGGUGCGUAGGCGGGUAGGUAAGUCAGAGGUGAAAUCCUGGAGCUUAACUCCAGAACUGCCUUUGAUACUAUCUAUCUUGAAUAUGGUGGAGGUAAGCGGAAUAUGUCAUGUAGCGGUGAAAUGCAUAGAUAUGAYAUAKACACCUAUUGCGAAGGCAGCUUACUACGCCUAUAUUGAMGCUGAGMMCGAAAGCGUGGGGAYMAAMGGAWUARAUACCCUUGKUAGUCCACGCCCUAAUCGAUKAAUUACUC
rnacentral:rRNA from 1 species